GAUGAACGCUGACAGAAUGCUUAACACAUGCAAGUCAACUUGAAUUUGGGUUUUUAACUUAGGUUUGGGUGGCGGACGGGUGAGUAACGCGUAAAGAACUUGCCUCACAGCUAGGGACAACAUUUGGAAACGAAUGCUAAUACCUAAUAUUAUGAUAAUAGGGCAUCCUAUAAUUAUGAAAGCUAUAAGCGCUGUGAUAGAGCUUUGCGUCCCAUUAGCUAGUUGGAGAGGUAACGGCUCACCAAGGCGAUGAUGGGUAGCCGGCCUGAGAGGGUGGUCGGCCACAAGGGGACUGAGACACGGCCCUUACUCCUACGGGAGGAAGCAGUGAGGAAUAUUGGACAAUGGACCGAGAGUCUGAUCCAGCAAUUCUGUGUGCACGAUGAAGUUUUUCGGAAUGUAAAGUGCUUUCAGUUGGGAAGAAACAAAUGACGGUACCAACAGAAGAAGUGACGGCUAAAUACGUG
rnacentral:rRNA from 1 species